rfam:Rattus norvegicus chromosome 10, whole genome shotgun sequence.
GGGGAUUUAGCUCAGUGGCAGAGCGCUUGCCUAGCAAGUGCAAGGCCCUGGGUUCGGUCCCCAGCUCCG